rnacentral:misc_RNA from 1 species
AACCUUAUGGACCUGCGGGCGUAUACCUGCGGAAGGAUCAUUACCGAGUGAGGGCCCUCCGGGUCCAACCUCCCACCCGUGUUUAACGAACCUUGUUGCUUCGGCGGGCCCGCCUCACGGCCGCCGGGGGGCACCCCGCCCCCGGGCCCGCGCCCGCCGAAGACACCUGUGAACGCUGUCUGAAGUUGCAGUCUGAGACACUAGCUCAAUCAGUUAAAACUUUUAGCAACGGAUCUCAGA